rnacentral:rRNA from 1 species
UACGUAGGGGGCAAGCGUUGUCCGGAUUUAUUGGGCGUAAAGAGCUCGUAGGCGGUUUGUCGCGUCGGAUGUGAAAACCCAGGGCUCAACCCUGGGCCUGCAUUCGAUACGGGCAAACUAGAGUAUGGCAGGGGAGACUGGAAUUCCUGGUGUAGCGGUGAAAUGCGCAGAUAUCAGGAGGAACACCGGUGGCGAAGGCGGGUCUCUGGGCCAAAACUGACGCUGAGGAGCGAAAGCGUGGGGAGCGAACAGG